rnacentral:lncRNA from 1 species
AGGAAUAAGAUACGUAAUAUUCGUAGAGUUCAAGACACUUAACCGCGUAACUUUGAGAAAUAAUUUCUAACGUUCCCAAGACCCGCGACUCACGAUAUUUAUGACUCUCAUAUCGUCUAUGAUAACCCAUUGGUGCUUCCAUAUACAUAAUUCACAGUGCUAAGCCGGCCAAACUUAAUACCAGGAAUUAUGCAAUGCAAGACUAAUAGCAUUAAUCAAUAGGCCGUCAUGUGCAUAAAGCUCUAAUUCUCGUUAUUCAAACAAGACCUACUACAUGACCGACUCACAGAGUAUGCAAUUGUUACAUAAUCAGUCCAUUCCCAAGGCUCUACAGGAAAGACCGCUCUGAUACCACAAUGUAACACCCUCACUAUCAGAAGUCACGCUUCCGGCUGCGCUACUCUGAUAACAAGAAGUAUUACGACUACUUUACAUACUAAAUAUUAAAAUAGGAGCCUGUGACUCAA